rnacentral:rRNA from 1 species
AACGAACGCUGGCGGCAUGCCUAACACAUGCAAGUCGAACGAGACCUUCGGGUCUAGUGGCGCACGGGUGCGUAACGCGUGGGAACCUGCCCUUAGGUUCGGAAUAACUCCCCGAAAGGGGUGCUAAUACCGGAUAAUGUCUUCGGACCAAAGAUUUAUCGCCUUUGGAUGGGCCCGCGUUGGAUUAGCUAGUGGGUAGGGUAAAAGCCUACCAAGGCGACGAUCCAUAGCUGGUCUGAGAGGAUGAUCAGCCACACUGGGACUGAGACACGGCCCAGACUCCUACGGGAGGAAGCAGUGGGGAAUAUUGGACAAUGGGCGAAAGCCUGAUCCAGCAAUGCCGGGUGAGUGAUGAAGGCCUUAGGGUUGUAAAGCUCUUUUACCCGGGAUGAUAAUGACAGUACCGGGAGAAUAAGCUCCGGCUAACUCCGUG